UCAGGAUGAACGCUAGCUACAGGCUUAACACAUGCAAGUCGAGGGUAGCAGGUAGCAAUACCGCUGACGACCGGCGCACGGGUGAGUAACACGUAUCCAACUUCCCAUAACUCAGGGAUAGCCUUUCGAAAGAAAGAUUAAUACCUGAUAGUACUUUUUUCAAGGCAUCUUGAAAAAGUUAAAGAUUUAUGGUUAUGGAUGGGGAUGCGUUCCAUUAGGUAGUUGGUGAGGUAACGGCUCACCAAGCCGACGAUGGAUAGGGGAACUGAGAGGUUGGUCCCCCACACUGGUACUGAGACACGGACCAGACUCCUACGGGAGGCAGCAGUGAGGAAUAUUGGUCAAUGGGCGAGAGCCUGAACCAGCCAAGUCGCGUGAAAAGGAAGAAGGAUCUAUGGUUCGUAAACUUCUUUUGCAGGGGAAUAAAGUGCAGGACGUGUCCUGUUUUGUAUGUACCCUGAGAAUAAGGAUCGGCUAACUCCGUGCCAGCAGCAGC
rnacentral:rRNA from 1 species